UAUCUCAAAGGUCGAAUGUCCUGAUGC
rnacentral:piRNA from 1 species